rnacentral:rRNA from 1 species
CCGUAGCCCAAGAGAUCGGGAUAACACCUGGAAACAGAUGCUAAUACCGGAUAACAACAGAUGAUGCCUAUCAACUGUUUAAAAGAUGGUUCUGCUAUCACUCUUGGAUGGACCUGCGGUGCAUUAGCUAGUUGGUAGGGUAACGGCCUACCAAGGCGAUGAUGCAUAGCCGAGUUGAGAGACUGAUCGGCCACAUUGGGACUGAGACACGGCCCAAACUCCUACGGAGGCAGCAGCC